CCUACGGGUGGCUGCAGUGGGGAAUAUUGCGCAAUGGGCGAAAGCCUGAUGCAGCGACGCCGCGUGAGGGAUGAAGGUCUUCGGAUCGGAAACCUCUGUCAGCAGGGAAGAACGGUCACUGUGCUAAUCAGCCUUGAAUUGACGGUACCUGCAAAGGAAGCACCGGCUAACUCCGUGCCAGCAGCCGCGGUAAUACGGAGGGUGCGAGCGUUAAUCGGAAUUACUGGGCGUAAAGCGCUCGUAGGCGGUAUGUCAAGUCAAGGGUGAAAUCCCCGCGCUCAACGUGGGAACUGCCGUUGAAACUGGCAAACUGGAGUGUGUGAGAGGAUAGUGGAAUUCCAGGUGUAGGAGUGAAAUCCGUAGAUAUCUGGAGGAACAUCAGUGGCGAAGGCGACUAUCUGGCACAUAACUGACGCUGAGGAGCGAAAGCGUGGGUAGCAAACAGGAUUAGAUACCCUUGUAGUC
rnacentral:rRNA from 1 species